UACGGGGGGGGCAAGCGUUGUUCGGAAUUACUGGGCGUAAAGGGCUCGUAGGCGGCCAACUAAGUCGGACGUGAAAUCCCCAGGCUCAACCUGGGAACUGCGUCUGAUACUGGAUGGCUUGAAUCCGGGAGAGGGAUGCAGAAUUCCAGGUGUAGCGGUGAAAUGCGUAGAUAUCUGGAGGAAUACCGGUGGCGAAGGCGGCAUCCUGGACCGGCAUUGACGCUGAGGAGCGAAAGCGUGGGGAGCGAACAGG
rnacentral:rRNA from 1 species